UUCCGUGAUCAUCUUCACUGUCGUAAAACUUUGAGCUGCCUAGGAGCCAGUAUUCAGCUCGCAGCCUUCAGAUGACGAUGGAGAACUCUCCUCUCUGUCUGCACCGUACCUGCCUGGAUGCCACCAUGCUCCUACCUUGAUGAUAAUGGACUGAACAUCUGAACCU